AUUGAACGCUGGCGGCAUGCCUUACACACGCAAGUCGAACGGUAACAGGUCUUUCGGGAUGCUGACGAGUGGCGAACGGGUGAGUAAUACAUCGGAACGUGCCUAGUAGUGGGGGAUAACUACUCGAAAGAGUGGCUAAUACCGCAUGAGAUCUAUGGAUGAAAGCAGGGGACCUUCGGGCCUUGUGCUACUAGAGCGGCCGAUGGCAGAUUAGGUAGUUGGUGGGAUAAAAGCUUACCAAGCCUACGAUCUGUAGCUGGUCUGAGAGGACGAUCAGCCACACUUGGACUGAGACACGGCCCAGACUCCUACGGGAGGCAGCAGUGGGGAAUUUUGGACAAUGGGCGCAAGCCUGAUCCAGCAAUGCCGCGUGCAGGAUGAAGGCCUUCGGGUUGUAAACUGCUUUUGUACGGAACGAAAAGUCUUGGGUUAAUACCCUGGGAUCAUGACGGUACCGUAAGAAUAAGCACCGGCUAACUACGUGCCAGCCGCCGCGGUAAAAC
rnacentral:rRNA from 1 species